GAUUUGCGCCGCUUCUUACUUUCUCAAACGAUUGAUUUGGGGUUCGUCAAAGGGUUGUUUGGGUUGCGAUUUGUUUCAUUGGGUGCUGAAACCUAUGGGUGAUUUUCUUCUGUCGUGAUCUCCAAAUUGAUUUCUCAGUCGUUGCUUCCGCAUUUGGUGAUUCGCUCACCGCCAAUCAGGUUUCCGUGCCGAUCGGGCUCAAUAGGUUUCCUCAGUUCUACUGUAUCUCCAUUGCUGAUCUUCGCCAUCCCGUUUGUAUGUAAGACAGUGCAGAAUUAUCGGUAUCUACAUCAAAGCAAGACCAAAGCUUCUGCCAGUAUCAUCCUGCCAUUUUCAUUAGCAUACAUGUAUGCUUAUAUUCCAACAUUCAGGCGGUUCAGAUACUCAAUGGAGUGAUAAGGUUCCUAACUCUAGCCAAGCUUCUUAGACUAUUUUUGUCUUACAUAGGUUUUUCGUGCCAGUAUCCCUUCACCUGUGCCUCACUGACUUAAGGUAUUGCCUCUCAAUUACAAUGUUGAUGUUUGAGUUUUUAUACACUUGGUGUUAGGCUACAAAUUGUGUGAUAGUUCAUUGGAUAGUUUGUCUCCUUCUCAUUUACUAACUCGGCAAAUGGGGUGAUUGCAAUUUGAGUUUGUUUAGGUCUCUAGGUUUGUUUGUGUUUCGUUCGUUGCAUUGUUCCUGUCAUGAUUUGGGGUCAGUUUGGUUUUAUUGUUUACUGAUUGUGGUCAUUGGGUUAAUUGUAAUGAUAAAGAGCACUAAUAAAAUUGUAAGUGUGGACAUUACAAAUAAAGACCGCUAAUAAAAAAUCCUUUUCCUCAAUUGUAACUUAUGAAUUUGCAUACGAGUAUUCUUUGAUGUAUGGUCGAAUGGUCACACAUGCCUAUAUGUAAACCAAACAGCAUUUGUCAAAGUGAAAAUAGCUUUUGGAGGAACUGUAAUAGGAUUUGUAGUCAAUUGUGGAUUGUGAUUGGGUAUAUAUAUGAUAGGGUUUAUACACAUUACACAGCUAGGCCAUAAAUGGUUUUAGGCUGCAUUUGUGUACAUUAAGGUCUCUAAAGGUGUGUGGACUCAUUCGUA